GUCUAGUCAGGGGUACAGUGUAUGCUGUAUAGUGACACUAGGACCAGCCUGCACAAUCAUAUAGCCUAGUCAGGGGUACAGUGUAUGCUGUAUAGUAACACUAGGUCCAGCCUGCACAAU